rnacentral:rRNA from 1 species
GCUUUCUUUAGCCGGCCAGCCGCGCCACGUCACCGCUCCCUGGCAGCGUAUGAACGGGAACUCAUCGGCCUGGUGCUCGCGAUUCGCCAUUGGAGGCCGUACCUAUGGGGGCGUCAGUUUGUGGUAAAAACGGAUCAUUACAGCCUCAAAUUUCUGCUUGACCAGCGUUUGGCCACCAUCCCGCAGCAUCAUUGGGUUGGCAAACUCCUGGGAUUCGACUUUACGGUGGAGUACAAGGCAGGUAGUACCAACACGGUGGCGGAUGCACUUUCCCGCCGUGACACGGAGGAGACGACGAUCAUGGCGGUCUCAGGGCCUCGUUUCGACUUCAUCAAUCGCCUCCGGCAAGCGACGUCCACUGAUCUGGCGCUCGUCGCACUGCGGGAGGAUAUCACGGCAGGUGCGCGGCAACAGCCUUGGGCGCUCUCCGACGGCCUCGUUACUUUCAACGGCCGCCUCUACAUUCCGCCGUCAUCCCCGCUACUCCAGGAGAUUCUCAGUGCCGUGCACGAUGAUGGGCAUGAAGGCGUCCUGCGCACAUUGCAUCGUCUUCGCCGCGAUUUCCACGCACCUAAUCUUCGCAAGACGGUGCAGGAGUACAUCCGCACUUGCGGUACUUGCCAGCGGUACAAGUCCGAGCACUUGCACCCCGCUGGGCUGCUCCUGCCGCUGCCGGUACCCACGGGCGUGUGGACUGACAUCGGCAUCGACUUCGUGGAAGCGCUUCCUCGAGUAGGCGGGAAGUCUGUCAUCCUCACCGUGGUGGAUCGCUUCAGCAAGUAUUGCCAUUUUGUGGCGUUAGCCCACCCAUACACGGCAGAGUCAGUGGCACAGGUGUUCUUCGCUGAGGUUGUUCGUCUCCACGGCGUGCCACAGUCCAUGGUCUCUGACCGCGACCCCGUCUUCACCUCCGCUUUUUGGCAAGAGCUCAUGCGCCUCACGGGGACAAAGCUGCACAUGACGUCCGCAUUUCACCCGCAGUCGGAUGGUCAAACGGAGGCUGCUAACAAGAUCAUUGUGAUGUAUUUACGGUGUCUUACCGGGGAUCGUCCCAAGCAGUGGCUCCGGUGGCUUCCCUGGGCUGAGUACAUAUACAACACCGCCUACCAGACAGCAACCCAAGAGACUCCGUUCAAGCUUGUGUAUGGCCGUGACCCUCCCACUAUUCGCUCUUACGAGCCCGGCGACACACGGGUGGCUGCAGUGGCCAGGAGCAUGGCUGAGCGCGACGAACUUAUCGAGGACGUCCGCUAUCGUCUACAACAGGCCCAGGCGGUCUAUAAGUCCUACUACGACAGACGUCAUCGGGACAUUCGGCAUGAGGUGGGCGAUUGGGUUUGGCUUCGCCUUCGACAGCGCGCCGCGUCCUCUCUCCACUUGCCAACCAGGGGCAAGCUCAAGCCACGAUUCUAU